rnacentral:rRNA from 1 species
UUGAUUAUGACGUACUUGUACUGAUUGAGAUUUUAACACGAAGUGAGUGGCGAACGGGUGAGUAACACGUGGGUAACCUGCCCAGAAGUAGGGGAUAACACCUGGAAACAGAUGCUAAUACCGUAUAACAGAGAAAACCGCAUGGUUUUCUUUUAAAAGAUGGCUCUGCUAUCACUUCUGGAUGGACCCGCGGCGUAUUAGCUAGUUGGUGAGGUAAAGGCUCACCAAGGCAGUGAUACGUAGCCGACCUGAGAGGGUAAUCGGCCACAUUGGGACUGAGACACGGCCCAGACUCCUACGGGAGGCAGCAGUAGGGAAUCUUCCACAAUGGACGCAAGUCUGAUGGAGCAACGCCGCGUGAGUGAAGAAGGGUUUCGGCUCGUAAAGCUCUGUUGUUAAAGAAGAACGUGGGUAAGAGUAACUGUUUACCCAGUGACGGUAUUUAACCAGAAAGCCACGGCUAACUACGUGCCAGCAGCCGCGGUAAUACGUAGGUGGCAAGCGUUAUCCGGAUUUAUUGGGCGUAAAGCGAGCGCAGGCGGUCUUUUAAGUCUAAUGUGAAAGCCUUCGGCUCAACCGAAGAAGUGCAUUGGAAACUGGGAGACUUGAGUGCAGAAGAGGACAGUGGAACUCCAUGUGUAGCGGUGAAAUGCGUAGAUAUAUGGAAGAACACCAGUGGCGAAGGCGGCUGUCUGGUCUGCAACUGACGCUGAGGCUCGAAAGCAUGGGUAGCGAACAGGAUUAGAUACCCUGGUAGUCCAUGCCGUAAACGAUGAUUACUAAGUGUUGGAGGGUUUCCGCCCUUCAGUGCUGCAGCUAACGCAUUAAGUAAUCCGCCUGGGGAGUACGACCGCAAGGUUGAAACUCAAAAGAAUUGACGGGGGCCCGCACAAGCGGUGGAGCAUGUGGUUUAAUUCGAAGCUACGCGAAGAACCUUACCAGGUCUUGACAUCUUCUGACAGUCUAAGAGAUUAGAGGUUCCCUUCGGGGACAGAAUGACAGGUGGUGCAUGGUUGUCGUCAGCUCGUGUCGUGAGAUGUUGGGUUAAGUCCCGCAACGAGCGCAACCCUUAUUACUAGUUGCCAGCAUUAAGUUGGGCACUCUA